CUAUACACCUUUUCACUGUAGCCUUCCUGGACGCCGCCAUAGCGCCAGAUAGCUCACCGCUAGCGACAUCUUGCGGCGGACCCAUCUUGGGCUGUUUGCUCUCCGGUCUUUCCGUCGAUACGCGUACAUUCGUCUCAUCGUACGUCCUCAAGUUCUCGUGUUCGUUUUGUGUAAGCUUUGCGGAGACGUUAGUUCGGUUUGUUUGUGAACCUCUGAGCUUACCUCACUAACAGGACGGUCGGCAUCGAGUGCUUUGCAAUUUGUGGUGUCUGUGCAUGAGUGGUGCGCGCUCCACGGCCGCGGUUACGUUCCGAUGGCCGGUGUUUCGUCUAAGGAGCCCGUGGACUUGGGAGGCGGCCGCAGUUAUGACCAUCCUUGCAUGGUGAAGAGAUGGCUGGACGACAUGCGAGAGUGGCCUGCUGCGAAUCAUCGGCACGGGGUUUAGAUCGGUGCGCUUGCCGUCAACAAAAUGCGCAGAACAUACACGUGAUGAAGGCAACGGCACAAAAUCUUUUCUGUUGACUGCGGCGACCCACUGUCUUUUCAAAUCGGCGUCAGCGGGAAACCGAUGCAGCAAAUACACGUUGCAUCCGCACACCUCUUGCAACACGUUGUGCGUGCCGCAGAGCUCUUUUCUUGCAGCGUUCCUCUUCUUCUGGUUAUAACUGCAGCCGUAAACAACGCAGUGAUGCCCUGUUGAUAAACUGUUCUUGAACGACAUUUCAAUGUUUCACAAAAACAGCAAAACAGCGCACGCAUUGAAGAGCCACCACAUAACGUGAACGGGGAACACGCUCCAGCAACAGCCCAGAGGAAGGAGGCGUUGCCCACAAGCCUGCUACUCUCGUCACCAGGCGGCAAAAAUCGGCUUGCGGCUCGCUGGUUCGAGAGUGCCGCUGGAAAAGUGUA